rnacentral:rRNA from 1 species
AUUGAACGCUGGCGGAAUGCUUUACACAUGCAAGUCGAACGGCAGCACGGGGGCAGCCCUGGUGGCGAGUGGCGAACGGGUGAGUAAUACAUCGGAACGUGCCCGGUCGUGGGGGAUAACGUAGCGAAAGUUACGCUAAUACCGCAUACGAUCUGAGGAUGAAAGCGGGGGACCUUCGGGCCUCGCGCGAUCGGAGCGGCCGAUGUCAGAUUAGGUAGUUGGUGGGGUAAAGGCCUACCAAGCCGACGAUCUGUAGCUGGUCUGAGAGGACGACCAGCCACACUGGGACUGAGACACGGCCCAGACUCCUACGGGAGGCAGCAGUGGGGAAUUUUGGACAAUGGGCGCAAGCCUUAUCCAGCCAUUCCGCGUGCAGGACGAAGGCCUUCGGGUUGUAAACUGCUUUUGUACGGAACGAAAAGGCUCUGGCUAAUACCUGGGACUCAUGACGGUACCGUAAGAAUAAGCACCGGCUAACUACGUG